rnacentral:rRNA from 1 species
GAUGAACGCUGGCGGCGUGCCUAAUACAUGCAAGUCGAGCGAACGGACGAGAAGCUUGCUUCUCUGAUGUUAGCGGCGGACGGGUGAGUAACACGUGGAUAACCUACCUAUAAGACUGGGAUAACUUCGGGAAACCGGAGCUAAUACCGGAUGAUAUUUUGAACCGCAUGGUUCAAAAGUGAAAGACGGUCUUGCUGUCACUUAUAGAUGGAUCCGCGCUGCAUUAGCUAGUUGGUAAGGUAACGGCUUACCAAGGCAACGAUGCAUAGCCGACCUGAGAGGGUGAUCGGCCACACCGGAACUGAGACACGGUCCAGACUCCUACGGGAGGCAGCAGUAGGGAAUCUUCCGCAAUGGGCGAAAGCCUGGCGGCGCAACGCCGCGUGAGUGAUGAAGGUCUUCGGAUCGUAAAACUCUGUUAUUAGGGAAGAACAUAUGUGUAAGUAACUGUGCACAUCUUGACGGUACCUAAUCAGAAAGCCACGGCUAACUACGUG